UACGUAGGGGCAAGCGUUGUCCGGAUUUACUGGGCGUAAAGAGCGUGUAGGCGGCCAAACAGGUCCGUUGUGAAAACUGGAGGCUCAACCUCCAGACGUCGACGGAAACCGUGUGGCUAGAGUCCGGAAGAGGAGAGUGGAAUUCCUGGUGUAGCGGUGAAAUGCGCAGAUAUCAGGAAGAACACCAAUGGCGAAGGCAGCUCUCUGGGACGGUACUGA
rnacentral:rRNA from 1 species